GCUCCCACAGAUGGAAGGAUCCAGCCGCCGGGAAGGGCCGCGUCCGGAUGCCGAACAGCUCGCCCCCUCCCCCUUCCGGGGCAGGUGUCUGCUUUUCUCUGGAUUUGAUUUCUCAUUUCUCUAGGGACAAGGCCCUUUGCAGCCGGUGGGGGUGAAACACUCGAGGGAAGAAAAACGUUUCCAAUCUCCGAGGGAACCGAGGCGGCUAGACUCGGAUGGGACUUCACUGACGAUGACUGCUCGGAGAUUCAUCCCGUGCUGACGUCCCAGGUCUCCACUCCACCUCCCUCCCCCCACCUUCGCUUCAUUUCGCUGGCAGGCGACGGAGCCGAAACAUUCCCAACUGGGUCUUGGCAGAAAAACCACCAUAAUCACUCCUAAACAUUGAGCUGAAAGGAUGCAGUUAUUAAAAUAGAGUCUCCAGGAGCUGUUUGAGAGCUUCCCCACAUUUAAAUGGAACUUCUUUGCUAAGGGCCUACAGAAUGUCAAAACUGAGGUUCCCACUUCAGAGCUUCAGCUUUAAACAGCCAAUCCACACAAAGAG